rnacentral:pre_miRNA from 7 species
UUUCGGGGUUCCUGGGUGUCACGCAGAUCUCGCUGGGGCCUCCAAAUGAAAGAACCUAGUGGAGAAACCUCCACUCAAUUCCUGUACAGCUUGCACCCAAGAAUCACGAAAAGACGA